GUAGGGAAUAUUGCGCAAUGGACGAAAGUCUGACGCAGCGACGCCGCGUGAGUGAUGAAGGCCUUAGGGUCGUAAAGCUCUGUUGAAUGGGAAGAAAAAAUGACGGUACCAUUCGAGGAAGGACCGGCUAACUUCGUGCCAGCAGCCGCGGUAAUACGAGGGGUCCUAGCGUUGUUCGGAAUCAUUGGGCGUAAAGGGUGUGUAGGUGGCCAUGUAAGUCAGGUGUGAAAGCCCCGGGCUCAACCCGGGAAGUGCACUUGAUACUGCGUGGCUUGAGUACCGAAGAGGGUAGUGGAAUUCCAGGUGUAGUGGUGAAAUACGUAGAUAUCUGGAGGAACACCGGUGGCGAAGGCGGCUACCUGGUCGAGUACUGACACUGAGACACGAAAGCAUGGGGAUCAAACAGGAUUAGAAACCCCAGUAGUCC
rnacentral:rRNA from 1 species